rnacentral:lncRNA from 1 species
AGCUCAUCUAGGAGAAGGCAAGGCACUAUCACAAGGAGUACAGACAUAUGUACUGAGAUUCGCAUGGCUAGGAUGGCAAGGAAAGCUGGGAACUUCUAUGUGCCUGCAGAACCAGAAUUGGCCUUUGUCAUCAGAACCCGAGGCAUCAAUGGAGUAAGCCCAAAGGUGCGCAAGGUGUUGCAGCUGCUUCGUCCUCGGUAGAUCUUCAAUGCCACCUUUGUUAAGCUCAACAAGGCUUCAAUUAACAUGCUGAGGACUGUGGAACCGUACAUUGCAUGGGGGUACCCCAACCUGAAGUCAGUAAAUGAGCUCAUCUACAAGCGAGGCUCUGGCAAAAUCAAUAAAAUAUGCAUUGCCUUGACAGAUAA